CCGGAAGACCAAGGGUUCCUGUCCAACGUUAAUCGGGGCAGGGUGAGUCGACCCCUAAGGCGAGGCCGAAAGGCGUAGUCGAUGGGAAACGGGUUAAUAUUCCCGUACUUGGUGUUACUGCGAAGGGGGGACGGAGAAGGCUAUGUUGGCCGGGCGACGGUUGUCCCGGUUUAAGCGUGUAGGUGUGUGUUCCAGGUAAAUCCGGUUCACUUUAACACUGAGGCGUGACGACGAGGCACUACGGUGCUGAAGCAACAAAUGCCCUGCUUCCAGGAAAAGCCUCUAAGCAUCAGGUAACAUCAAAUCGUACCCCAAACCGACACAGGUGGUCAGGUAGAGAAUACCAAGGCGCUUGAGAGAACUCGGGUGAAGGAACUAGGCAAAAUGGUGCCGUAACUUCGGGAGAAGGCACGCUGACACGUAGGUGAAGUGAUUUACUCAUGGAGCUGAAGUCAGUCGAAGAUACCAGCUGGCUGCAACUGUUUAUUAAAAACACAGCACUGUGCAAACACGAAAGUGGACGUAUACGGUGUGACGCCUGCCCGGUGCCGGAAGGUUAAUUGAUGGGGUCAGCGCAAGCGAAGCUCCUGAUCGAAGCCCCGGUAAACGGCGGCCGUAACUAUAACGGUCCUAAGGUAGCGAAAUUCCUUGUCGGGUAAGUUCCGACCUGCACGAAUGGCGUAAUGAUGGCCAGGCUGUCUCCACCCGAGACUCAGUGAAAUUGAACUCGCUGUGAAGAUGCAGUGUACCCGCGGCAAGACGGAAAGACCCCGUGAACCUUUACUAUAGCUUGACACUGAACAUUGAGCCUUGAUGUGUAGGAUAGGUGGGAGGCUUUGAAGUGUGGACGCCAGUCUGCAUGGAGCCGACCUUGAAAUACCACCCUUUAAUGUUUGAUGUUCUAACGUGGACCCGUAAUCCGGGUUGCGGACAGUGUCUGGUGGGUAGUUUGACUGGGGCGGUCUCCUCCUAAAGAGUAACGGAGGAGCACGAAGGUUGGCUAAUCCUGGUCGGACAUCAGGAGGUUAGUGCAAUGGCAUAAGCCAGCUUGACUGCGAGCGUGACGGCGCGAGCAGGUGCGAAAGCAGGUCAUAGUGAUCCGGUGGUUCUGAAUGGAAGGGCCAUCGCUCAACGGAUAAAAGGUACUCCGGGGAUAACAGGCUGAUACCGCCCAAGAGUUCAUAUCGACGGCGGUGUUUGGCACCUCGAUGUCGGCUCAUCACAUCCUGGGGCUGAAGUAGGUCCCAAGGGUAUGGCUGUUCGCCAUUUAAAGUGGUACGCGAGCUGGGUUUAGAACGUCGUGAGACAGUUCGGUCCCUAUCUGCCGUGGGCGCUGGAGAACUGAGGGGGGCUGCUCCUAGUACGAGAGGACCGGAGUGGACGCAUCACUGGUGUUCGGGUUGUCAUGCCAAUGGCACUGCCCGGUAGCUAAAUGCGGAAGAGAUAAGUGCUGAAAGCAUCUAAGCACGAAACUUGCCCCGAGAUGAGUUCUCCCUGAGACUU
rnacentral:rRNA from 1 species